GAUGAACGCUGGCGGCGUGCCUAAUACAUGCAAGUCGAGCGAACAGACGAGGAGCUUGCUCCUCUGACGUUAGCGGCGGACGGGUGAGUAACACGUGGAUAACCUACCUAUAAGACUGGGAUAACUUCGGGAAACCGGAGCUAAUACCGGAUAAUAUAUUGAACCGCAUGGUUCAAUAGUGAAAGACGGUUUUGCUGUCACUUAUAGAUGGAUCCGCGCCGCAUUAUCUAGUUGGUAAGGUAACGGCUUACCAAGGCAACGAUGCGUAGCCGACCUGAGAGGGUGAUCGGCCACACUGGAACUGAGACACGGUCCAGACUCCUACGGGAGGCAGCAGUAGGGAAUCUUCCGCAAUGGGCGAAAGCUUGACGGAGCAACGCCGCGUGAGUGAUGAAGGUCUUCGGAUCGUAAAACUCUGUUAUUAGGGAAGAACAAAUGUGGAAGUAACUAUGCACGUCUUGACGGUACCUAAUCAGAAAGCCACGGCUAACUACGUG
rnacentral:rRNA from 1 species